ensembl:snoRNA
AGUCUGUGAUGAUCCACAUGUGAGAGUAGUGGACAGAAGACAUUUCUGAGCAAUCUAAUGCUGAGACU